rnacentral:rRNA from 1 species
UACAGAGGUCUCGAGCGUUAUGCGGAAUCACUGGGCUUAAAGCGUGUGUAGGCGGAUCGGUAAGUACGUUGUGAAAUCCCACAGCUUAACUGUGGAACUGCUUGGUAUACUGCCAGUCUUGAGCCAGCUAGGGGCUACCGGAACAAAUGGUGGAGCGGUGAAAUGCGUAGAUAUCAUUUGGAACGCCAAUGGUGAAAACAGGUAGCUGGGGCUGUGCUGACGCUGAGACACGAAAGCCAGGGGAGCGAACGGG